GGCAGCCGACCGGCUGGAACCAACCUCAUCCUCUGGGCUUGGACUGAACUUUAAGACCAGAUGAAUUUUUGGCUGUGUACCGAACUUGGAACUGAUUCCUAACACCAUCCUGAUUUUCCCUUCGGAACCUCUUCGGACCUCUGAUCUCCUAGUUUUGGCUCCUGAGCAUGACACCAGCUUUGGCCUCACUCUACAGAGGACCAAGCCUAAAUCUCAGGAACUAAAUUUGCAGAUAAAUGGAGCCAGAAUCCACAUCUGGCACUCCCUGGGCGGCACUCGCUGUGUCUUGUUGGCAGUCGACCGGCUGGAAUCAACUUCAUCCUCUGGGCUUGGACUGAAC